rnacentral:rRNA from 1 species
CCUACGGGGGGCAGCAGUGGGGAAUAUUGGACAAUGGGGGGAACCCUGAUCCAGCGACGCCGCGUGAGUGAAGAAGUAUUUCGGUAUGUAAAGCUCUAUCAGCAGGGAAGAAAGAAAUGACGGUACCUGACUAAGAAGCCCCGGCUAACUACGUGCAAGCAGCCGCGGUAAUACGUAGGGGGCAAGCGUUAUCCGGAUUUACUGGGUGUACAGGGAGCGUAGACGGCGAUGCAAGUCUGAAGUGAAAGGCGGGGGCCCAACCCCCGGACUGCUUUGGAAACUGUAUGGCUGGAGGGCAGGGGAGGUAAGUGGAAUUCCUAGUGUAGCGGUGAAAUGCGUAGAUAUUAGGAGGAACACCAGUGGCGAAGGCGGCUUACUGGACUGUAACUGACGUUGAGGCUCGAAAGCGUGGGGAGCAAACAGGAUUAGAUACCCGUGUAGUC